CAGGCUCAUAACCUGAAGGCCGCAGGUUCAAAUCCUGCCCCCGCAA
rfam:Rhizobium sp. R1-200B2 contig_43, whole genome shotgun sequence.